rnacentral:other from 1 species
GUUCUACUGCGGUGUUGGUGACUGCCAAUAAAGUUUUAUGAUCUAUGCCUUGAGAUAAACGGGAACCCGCGUAGUUCUAGCGGCAGUAUACCGGGCCAGUAACCGGAAACGGAAGCUACCGAACCUGGGUACCCACCUGGUGCAACCAGGUCAAAAACUGAGGUAAGACGGCACUGCGGUGAACCU